GGUGAACCUGCGGAGGGAUCAUUACCGAGUUUACAACUCCCAAACCCAAUGUGAACCAUACCAAACUGUUGCCUCGGCGGGGUCACGCCCCGGGUGCGUCGCAGCCCCGGAACCAGGCGCCCGCCGGAGGGACCAACCAAACUCUUUUCUGUAGUCCCCUCGCGGACGUUAUUUCUUACAGCUCUGAGCAAAAAUUCAAAAUGAAUCAAAACUUUCAACAACGGAUCUCUUGGUUCUGGCAUCGAUGAAGAACGCAGCGAAAUGCGAUAAGUAAUGUGAAUUGCAGAAUUCAGUGAAUCAUCGAAUCUUUGAACGCACAUUGCGCCCGCCAGUAUUCUGGCGGGCAUGCCUGUCCGAGCGUCAUUUCAACCCUCGAACCCCUCCGGGGGGUCGGCGUUGGGGACCUCGGGAGCCCCUAAGACGGGAUCCCGGCCCCGAAAUACAGUGGCGGUCUCGCCGCAGCCUCUCCUGCGCAGUAGUUUGCACAACUCGCACCGGGAGCGCGGCGCGUCCACGUCCGUAAAACACCCAACUUCUGAAAUGUUGACCUCGGAUCAGGUAGGAAUACCCGCUGAACUUAAGCAUAUCAAUAAGCG
rnacentral:rRNA from 1 species